rnacentral:lncRNA from 1 species
AAAAAGACAAGAAAACAACUAUACCAAAAUUGGCUACGAAUCAGGUGCAAGGGCACAUAAAAGAAGCAGCAAUUAUUUCUGAUCAAAGGAUUAGAGAAGAAUGUGCACAGAAGGUGACACAGAAACUCAGCUUAGAAAAAUGUAUAUUUGCGGGGAGAUAAAGGGGAAGGUAUUACAAUGUGAGGCUGUAUAAGAUUCCAAAGCACAGAGAUAUGAAUGUGAAAGGCUUAAUUUGAGAAAGACAAAAUGUUCAUAGUGACUGAAACUUGUUAGCAGAACUUGCAUAGUGCUAGCUCUAAAGAGAAGUUUGGGCUCGGUUUAGAGGGACUUUGGCUGCCAUACUAGGGAGUUUGGAUUCCAUUCUACAGUGUGGAGGAAGAUUUUUUAAAAGCACCAUUUAGUAAACACUGUGGUUGCCUCCUCAACAUCUAUUCCCUACACUACCCCUAUUGUCCUUUCUAACCAAAUCCAUUUUUUUUUUAAAUCAGAUAAUCCACCUCUCCUUUAUGAGAUUCAGGGGACAAUGAAUUCAUCUCCAUUUCCAAGGAUAGAUCUGUAUUAGCUUAAAUCAGGCAGGCUAACUCAUACUUCUUGUGCUUCCAUGACAGACUCUUUCUGGGUUAUACGUAAUAAAUAUACAUAAACAAUAUUAUACUUCAUUGUCCAGCAUAUACAAGAGGCAAACACAAAUCAGAAAUAUUAUCUUUACCAGUGGUACAUGAGUCCAUUUUUUGUCAAAUAGAGAGCAAUUGCUGCAGUAAUUGCAGUUUAUCACUAAGCCAGAUGCAGGGGUUACUCAUACAUAUGCCUUCUAAUUGUGGGCUACUAUUAAUAGUCACUGGCCUCCUUCUUAAAUUAUUUUCAGUCAUGAGCUUAACUUAAUGUGGUACCAUAUAUUCUUUCUUUUAAGGACCUUAAGAAUCUGGGAAGAAUUAGCCACACUCUAAUUUAGGAACAGAGAUGGAUGAAUCCACCUAUGGACAUUUACUGGUAUGAGUCACUGGGGAAGUUCACUAAGUCACUAUUUAAGAUGAUCCAGAACAGGUGUCUACAGCUGCCUUAAGAAUGAGUACUAUGGUGGUGAUGAAAAUGUUCCUCUCAGAUGUCCAACUGCAGGGGGUGGGUAUGAAAUUGCCAGAUGGCCCCAGCUGGUGUGCUCUGGAAUCCUUGGCGCCAAGGCCAUGCUGCCAGGGGCUUCUCCAGGCUGGUGAUCAAAUGUAGUGAGGAUCCUCAGGCAGGCCCAUUCCUGGAAGACAUGGGACUCUCCCGAUAGGUCGGCUCCAAGGCUACACAAGCAGCAAGAAGAAAAGGAAAAACUCUGUUUUAUUAAAGCUCCACUUGCCUAUCUACCUUGGUGGAGGGUCAAGAAAAGGUUUAUAACCUAUUUGCAGGUUUUAGGCUCCUGUUUGCAGCACAGAAACCACAGACAAUAGAAAUUCAGACUCAGUGGUGUGGCAGAAGAUAAAAUAAUUUGGGUUAUUUCUGUGAUAACAUGGGCAAUCUGGAAACUACUCCCAUUUGUGAGGGUAAAUCUCUAUUAUGAUACAUGGAAAAUAGGACAGAUGCUAAUUCAGGUAAGAAAAGGUCUUUGUAUUAUACAAAUAUUUACCUUCAGACAGAAAUGUUAAUGAAGAUGGAGAAGGAACAGUUACCAAGAAACUAGGGAUAGUAGGACACAAAAAACCUGGUAACCUGGUAGUGAGUAUGAACCAGUCUGGUGCCUUGCCUCCAGAGGAGCAGCAACUGAGCAGAGCUACUGGACAACCAGCCCUGCACUUCCCUAGAGCACAGACCAGCUCACUAUGCAGCCACCAAGAGAUAAGCACCGAAGGAGAACCUACCAGCCAUGGAUCCUCAGAAAACAGACCAGCUAAGUGCCCAGCCUUCAGGGGACAAGCAGCUGAGUGGGCAUACCAGCCACACAAACUUCUGCAGCCAAGGCCACUGAGGUACUUGCAGGCACCACUGACAUUAACUACAGCUAAAGAAGCUGCAUGGAGACUACACUACUGCAUCCACCCAGAACAAAAACAAAUGUACCUUACCCAACCAACAUGCUAGGACACAUCUGCAGGUGUAAGUCUUUUCCGCUGAAAGUUAUGCUACCAAGUUAGAAAAGGUGAUUAUUCCAUCAGAUGCACAGAUGCCAGUGCAGGGAUACAAGAAACAUAAAAAAGCAAGGGAACAUGACACCACCAAAGAAACACAAUAAUUCUCUAGUAACUGACCCCAAUAAAAAAAUAAAAAUUUAUGAAUUGCCUGAAAAGGAAUUCAAGAUAGUGAGCCUAAGGAAACUUGGUGAGACAUGAAAGAACACAAACGGAUCAUUCAACAAUCGGGAAAAACAGUUCAUGAUCUGAAUGAGAAAUUCAACAAAGAGAGAGAUAUCAUAAAAAAGAACAAAAUAGAAAUCUUGGGGCCAAGAAAUUCAAUGAAUGAAAUAAAAAAACGCAAUUGAGAGCUUCAACAGCAAAAUAGAUCAAACAGAAGAAUUUUUGAACUUGAAAACAGGCCUUUUGAAAUAGUCCAGUCAGAGGUAAAGAAAAAAAAAAAGGAAUGAAGAAGCCUAUGGCAUUUAUGGGACACCAUAAGUGAACAAAUGUUUGCAUUUUGGCAACUUAAGAAGAAGAGAUGAAGAAAGGCAAAGAAAGCUUAUUUAACAAAGUAAUAGUUGAAAACUUCCCAAGUCUUGGGGAGAUAUGGACAUCCAGAUCCAUGAAGUUCAAAGGAUCCCACAAAGAUUCAACUCAAAGAGGUCCUCUCUGAGGCAUAUAACCAAACUGUCAAAAGUCAAAGACAAAGAAAAAAAUACUAAAAGCAGCAUGAGAAAAACAUCAAGUCACAUAUAAGGGAAUUGCCAUUGGACUAUUAGCAGAUUUCCCAGCAGCAACCUUGCAGGCCAGGAGAGAAUGGGAUGAUAUAUUUAAAAUACUAGAAGAAAAAAAGCUGCUAGCCUAGAAUACUAUACCAGCAAAUCUUUGCUUCAGAAAUGAAGGAGAAAUAGUCUUUCCCAGAUCAGCAAAAGUUGAGGGAACUCAUUACCACUGGACCAGACUUACAAGAAAUGCUUGAGUAUUUCUAUUGGAAAAAAAAGUUUUCAUGAUAAUUGCUACCAUAAAAAAACAUGAAGUAUAAAUCUCACUGCUGGAGAUAAAUGCAUUAUCAAAUUCAUAAUGCUUCAUUACUGCAAUGGUGAUAUGUAAUGUUUCAAACCUCUAGUAUGAAGGUUAAAGGCCAAAACAGCUGGGUGCUGUGGCAUGUGCUUGUAGUCCCAGUUAUUUAGGAGGCUGAAAUGGAAGGCUCAUUUGAG